GAUGAACGCUGGCGGCGUGCUUAACACAUGCAAGUCGAACGAUGAAAGCGGGAGCUUGCUCCUGCUGGAUUAGUGGCGAACGGGUGAGUAACACGUGAGCAAUCUGCCCCGAACUCUGGGAUAAGCGUUGGAAACGACGUCUAAUACCGGAUACGACGCGCGAAGGCAUCUUCUGCGCGUGGAAAGAACUUCGGUUCGGGAUGAGCUCACGGCCUAUCAGCUAGUUGGUGAGGUAACGGCCCACCAAGGCGACGACGGGUAGCCGGCCUGAGAGGGUGACCAGCCACACUGGGACUGAGACACGGCCCAGACUCCUACGGGAGGCAGCAGUGGGGAAUAUUGCACAAUGGGCGCAAGCCUGAUGCAGCAACGCUGCGUGAGGGACGACGGCCUUCGGGUUGUAAACCUCUUUUAGUAGGGAAGAAGCGAAAGUGACGGUACCUGCAGAAAAAGCACCGGCUAACUACGUGCCAGCAGCCGCAGUAACAC
rnacentral:rRNA from 1 species